rnacentral:rRNA from 1 species
UGAUCAGAGGAGCUGGGCUCCUUGCGAGCUCAACCUAUUCUCAAACUUUCAAUGGGUGAGACGUCUCGCUGGCUUCACUGCAGCGACGACUCUGAAUCCGAGUGCCCAGUGGGCCACUUUUGGUAAGCAGAACUGGCGAUGCGGGAUGAACCGCAUGUCGAGUUAAGGUGCCUAAGCGGACGCAAAUCAGAUACCAUGAAAGGUGUUGAUUGCUCACGACAGCAGGACGGUGGCCAUGGAAGUCGGCAUCCGCUAAGGAGUGUGUAACAACUCACCUGCCGAAGCAAUCAGCCCUGAAAAUGGAUGGCGCUAAAGCGUUCCACCGAUACUCGACCGUCGUCGGCACGCGACCGGCCCCUGGGCCGGUCUCAGGCCACGACGAGUAGGGCGGCGCGGUGGUGAGCGUCGAAGGCGUAGCCGUGAGGCUAGCUGGAGCCGCCAUCGGUGCAGAUCUUGGUGGUAGUAGCAAAUACACAAGCAAGAUCCUUGUGGACCGAUGUGGAGAAGGGUUCCGCGCGAACAGUACUUGGACGUGGGUGAGUCGGCCCUAAGCCAACGGGUAAUUCCCGCAUCCCG